rnacentral:rRNA from 1 species
GAGGAUGCGAGCGUUAUCCGGAUUUAUUGGGUUUAAAGGGUGCGUAGGCGGGCUUUCAAGCCGGCGGUCAAAUGUCGGGGCUCAACCCCGGCCUGCCGUCGGAACUGGAGGCCUUGAGUGGGCGAGAAGUAUGCGGAAUGCGUGGUGUAGCGGUGAAAUGCAUAGAUAUCACGCAGAACCCCGAUUGCGAAGGCAGCAUACCGGCGCCCUACUGACGCUGAGGCACGAAAGUGCGGGUAUCGAA